rnacentral:rRNA from 1 species
GAGCACGUAGGUGGGUUUGUAAGUCAGAUGUGAAAGCCUUCUGUUCAACGGAAGAAUUGCACCUGAAACUGCGAGUCUUGAGUGUAGGAGGGGAGAAUGGAACUUCUGGUGGAGCGGUGAAAUGCGUAGAUAUCAGAAGGAACGCCGGCGGCGAAAGCGAUUCUCUGGCCUAUUACUGACACUCAGUGUGCGAAAGCUAGGGGAGCAAACGGGAUUAGAUACCCCGGUAGUCCUAGCCGUAAGCGAUGGGCACUAAGUAGAGGGGUUUUAA